rnacentral:rRNA from 1 species
GACGAACGCUGGCGGCGUGCUUAACACAUGCAAGUCGAACGGGAAGGCCCUUCGGGGUACUCGAGUGGCGAACGGGUGAGUAACACGUGGGUGAUCUGCCCUGCACUUUGGGAUAAGCCUGGGAAACUGGGUCUAAUACCGAAUAGGACCACGCGCUUCAUGGUGUGUGGUGGAAAGCUUUUGCGGUGUGGGAUGGGCCCGCGGCCUAUCAGCUUGUUGGUGGGGUAAUGGCCUACCAAGGCGACGACGGGUAGCCGGCCUGAGAGGGUGACCGGCCACACUGGGACUGAGAUACGGCCCAGACUCCUACGGGAGGCAGCAGUGGGGAAUAUUGCACAAUGGGCGCAAGCCUGAUGCAGCGACGCCGCGUGAGGGAUGACGGCCUUCGGGUUGUAAACCUCUUUCAAUAGGGACGAAGCGCAAGUGACGGUACCUAUAGAAGAAGCACCGGCCAACUACGUG